rnacentral:rRNA from 1 species
UCCCUGCGUUAUGCCCCGAUACAGUGGAUAACCAUAUAACGCCUUUGAGUGAGUUGAUAUUUGCUCUAAGCUGCAGAACAACAGAGUUAUCGAGUCAGGGUGCGAAGAGAAGAAGAGCUCGCGAGACGAAAACGGAACAAGGUCUCCGUUGGUGAACCAGCGGAGGGAUCAUUACCGAGUUUACAACUCCCAAACCCAAUGUGAAACAUACCAAACUGUUGCCUCGGCGGGGUCACGCCCCGGGUGGGUCGCAGCCCCGGAACCAGGCGCCCGCCGGAGGGACCAACCAAACUCUUUUCUGUAGUCCCCUAGCGGACGUUAUUUCUUACAGCUGUGAGCAAAAAUUCAAAAUGAAUCAAAACUUUCAACAACGGAUCUGUUGGUUCUGGCAUCGAUGAAGAACGCAGAGAAAUGCGAUAAGUAAUGUGAAUUGCAGAAUUCAGUGAAUCAUCGAAUCUUUGAACGCACAUUGCGCCCGCCAGUAUUCUGGCGGGCAUGCCUGUCCGAGCGUCAUUUCAACCCUCGAACCCCUCCGGGGGGUCGGCGUUGGGGACCUCGGGAGCCCCUAAGACGGGAUCCCGGCCCCGAAAAACAGUGGCGGUCUCGCCGCAGCCUCUCCUGCGCAGUAGUUUGCACAACUCGCACCGGGAGCGCGGCGCGUCCACGUCCGUAAAACACCCAACUUC